UUUGGGACUGUAGAUCUGUCUCAUAAUCUUCUCAUGAGAAUUAAAUGAGAUGGCACUCCUGUACGCCUAACACAGAGUAGGUGCUUAGUGAACCCAAGUUCUCCUUCCUGUUCUGCCAUACACUAUACUUUCCCUCUCUUUUUGUGGGUGUGUAUUUUUUGAGAGAGGUUCUCACUCUGUCACCCAGGCUGGAGUGCAGGGGCAUGAUCACAGCUCACUGCAGGCUGGAUCUCCUGGGCUCAAGUAAUUCUGCCGCUUCAGCCCCCAGAGUAGCUGGGACUACAGGCACACACCACUACGCCCACCUCCCCCAGCUCCUUUUUUUUUUUUUUUUUUUUUGAAGAGAUGGAGACUUACUAUGUUGCCCAGGCUGGUCUCAAACUCCUGGGUUUAAGCGAUCCUCCCACCUCGACCUCCCAAAGUGCUGGGAUUAAAUGUGCAAGCCACUACGUCCCACCCGCUUUCUCUUACCAUUGCCUGCUUCUUGCCUCUCUUCUCAUUACUUCCAAGCAUAAUAAAGUUGAUACUGUUUUUUAGAAGUUAUAUCUCCUUUCACUGGCUGGAACAUCAGUGUCUAGUAUGCAUACAUGCAGGUAUGCUCAGAAUCCCUGGUCCUGUCAUUGACUGUAAUUUGCUUCUCUCUCCUACUCCUCUCCCCACCAACUAAAUAAAGCAGUCAAUUGUUCCAAAAAUUACAUCCAAGCCUUAAAUAUGAUGGAAUAAAACCUGGGAUAGAGAGGUGGAUCUUUAUUGUGGUGGGAAAUGGGGGCCGCAUAACUCGAGGGCUGCGUCUAAGUGGAAAGGGUAAAGGAAUUUUAGACGGGUAUUAGUCAGAAGUCAGUAACAUAGUCCCAAUUCCCUGUUGAUCAUAAAGCGGAAUUUGAAUCCUGUAUGUACAUAAAUGCACAUAUAAAAAAACAUUAAAUACCUUCAAGUGAUAACUAACGUUUAUUAAGGUUUCUUUUUUUUUUUUUUAGAUGGAAUCUCGCUCUGUCACCCAGGAUAGAGUGCAGUGGCGUGAUCUUGGCUCACUGCAACCUCCACGUCCUGGGUUUAAACAAUUCUCCCACCUCAGCCUCCCGAGUAGCUGGGACUAUAGGCGUGCACCACCACACCUAGCUAAUUUUUGUAUUUUUAGUAGAGAUGGAAUUUCGCCAUGUUGGCCAGGCUGGUCUCAGAUUCCUGAUCCCAAGUGAUCCACCCACCUCGGCCUACCAAAGUGCUGGGAUUAUAGGCAUGAGCCUCUGUGCCCGGCCUAUUACGUUUUAUAUACCAGACACCGUAAGAUUGCCCCAGACGCCCGAAGACAUGGAUUUCAGCUGUUUAAUUUGCUGUAUAAAUUAGGGUGAGAGACUGCAGCCCUGGCUGCCAAUGUAAAGAUGGUGCUGAUGGAGAGGUGAGGACGCCGCCUACUGGAAUAGUAGAUGGAUGCAUUAUCUUCCUCAGGCUGCUCCUCUGUGACGAGACUGAUCAAUGUAGUGAGUUAGCUUGCAGGGCAAAAGUUCAUACUUCCCAUCACCUAGAGAUCAGUGAGAUCAGAUAAGGAGGGAAAAUCCUCUCCUUGGGCCAUAGAUUGCGACUUUGACUCCAUUGCAAGUUACAAUGGAAAGUCUUUGUCUGUAAACAGAACCACACAUGGAAAAUGUGAUAUACUGUAGCAGCAAACCACUUCCAGGCAAAAUGCAGAUCUCAGGGUCUUGUGCACAGAGAAUACUCAGCUUGCUCACUAAGUAGGUGUUGUAUUGAGACAAUAUAUGAAUGACUGAUCCCUCUGCUUCCAUCAAAUAACCUUUAGCUCAGCUCUGCCUGUCAGUGUGCUGACCACCACAAGAAGAGAGGCGGGGAGUACUGGGAUGGGGCAGGGACCGAUGUAAAUUUUUUUAAGCCUCCCUUUGCAAAAGAACCUGUGUAUGUGCAUUCAGCAGCUGCACCUUUAACUUAGGAGCUUAAGAAAAAACCAUGUUUCUUUUGUUCUACCUUGUUUUACUCUAUUGUUAUUUACUGUGUUAUAGGGUCAGCACCAGUUGAAAAAAGCAGACCUGUACUGUUCCUAUGGCCAUAUAUUAUGUAUUUAUUCCAGGGGAUCCCCUGCUUGAUACAUAAACACACCCUUCUUUAUUCCUGUUCAUGGUUUAAUUGUCUGAUGGUCAGCCUUGGCUGGAGAAAUGAGAUUUUUAUUGUUUUUACAUUAGACCUCCUGUCUUCAUUGUACACCUGGCUAAGUAUGAAUUCUGUCCUCUUUGACAGUUUCUUUAAUAAGAUUCACACAUGCAAUUCCUAUCACUGCUAGGAAAACAUUUUAACAUAUUAAUUCUGCAUAAUCACCAGAAGCCAUUACAAUAUAGAUUUAAAAGUUAUUGUUUAGCCUUAGGAAUCAUGAAGUAAGAUAAUAGGUUUGAUUGGCACAGUUUGGUCUUGGAUUUUUUAAUAGGUUGGUAACAAGGAAGACCAUUUAUUUGGUAUUUAUUUUUGAGAAUGGUGCUUACUCUAUAUGCUGAGAUUUCAAGCAAUGAUCUUGGAACCCUGGUUAGUCACAUCUUCCAUUUCACAGAAAACAGGACAGAAGCAUUAGAAAGAAAGGCAUAAGCUCAGGAAGGGCCCAUCCUAGGAAAAAACACAAAGUUCAAGGGUCUUUGACUCUAAUCACACCUCAGUAUUCCAUGACCUUGCCACUUCUAUCCUCUGAAAUCCCAUGCUACUUUCUGUUGGCACAAAUGAGGGCCUCUCAUUGUGAUACAGGUUUUGUACAGCCCUUCCAGUUCCAUACUUCUUCUUCCUUGUUUAAACAACUUUACUGAUGUACUUUUAAUAACAUAAGAUUCACCCAAUUGAUGAAUUUUAGUAAAUGUAUACAGAUGUGCAGCCAUAACCACAAUGAAAUUUUAGAACAAAUCCAUCUCCCCGUGUCCAUUUGCAGUCAAUCCACACCCCCAGCCCUGGCCUCAGGCAAGAGAUCUCCUUUGUCGCUAUAACUUUGCAUUUUUUGAAAAUUAAUAUGAAUAAGGCCAGGCGCUGUGGCUCACGCCUGUAAUUCCAGCACUUUGGGAGGUUGAGGCAGGUGGAUCACAAGGUCAGGAGUUCAAGACCAGCCUGGCCAACAUGGUGAAACCCUGUCUCUACUAAAAAUACAAAAAAGUAGCUGGGUGUGGUGGCAGGCACCCGUAAUCUCAGCUACUCUGGUGGCUGAGGCAGGAUUAUCGCUUGAACGCAGGAGGUGGAGGUUGUGGUGAGCCGAGAUGACACCAUUGCACUCCAGCCUAGGCAAUAAGAGCAAAACUCCAUCUAAAAAAAAAAAAAAAGAAAAUUAAUAUGAAUAAAUACGUAGCAGUUUGUGUCAAGUAGGAAAAUACUUUUGUCAUUGAUCCAUGUUGGUGCAUAAGUCAUUAGUGUUUUCUUUCUUAUUGUUGACUACCUCAUACCAUGCAUAAAAAUUAACCAGAUGGAGCAUAAGAUCUAAAUAUAAGAACAAAACUAUAAAUUUCUAGAAAAAUACACCUGAAAAUAUAUCACCAAAGCAUGAUCCAUAAUAGAAAAAUUGUAUUGAUAGACCAUUUUGUUUAUUCCCCAGCUGAUAGACAUUUGGAUUAUUUCUAGUUUUUACAAUUAUAAAUAAUGCUGCUGUGAACAUUUGAAUAGAAGUUUUUGUGUGCACAUACAUUUUCAUUUCUCUUUAGGUAGAUGCCUAGGAGUAAAAUUAAUGGGUUGUAUUGUAAGUGUACAUUUAGUCUUUUAGAUGUUGCCAAAUAGGUUUCCAAAGUAGUUGUGUCAUAUUACAUUUCUACCAUCCAUGUAAGAGGGUUCCGGUUUCUUCACAUCCCUGACAACACUUGGUAUUGUCAGUCUUUUUAAUAUUAGCUAUUCUAGUGGGUGUUACAGGUAGCUCAUUGUGGUUUUACUUUGCAUUUCCUUUAUGACUAAUGAUGUGAUCAUCUUUUUUUCCAUUUGCAUAUCUUCUUCGGCAAAUGUCUAUCCAAAUCUUCCACCACCCCGCUCUUUUUGUUCUAUUAUUGAUUUGAAAGAGCGCUUAUAUUUGAAUUGGAAGAGUUUGUUAUAUAUUCUGGAUACAAAUCUUUGAUCAGACAUAUGUUUGGCAAAUAUUUUCUCCUGACCGAUGGCUAACCUUUUCAUUUUCUUGUGUCUUUUGAAAAGGAACAUUUUUAAUUUUGAUGAAAUAUAAUUUAUCAAUUUUUUCUAUUAUGGAUCAUGCUUCAGUGAUAUAUUUUCUCGUUUUUUUUUUCUAGAAAGUUAUAUUUUUGUUCUUUUUUGUUUGUUUGUUUUGGUUUUUUUUUUUUUUUUGGAGACAGAGUCUCACCCUGUCCCACCCAUGCUGGAGUACAGUGGCGCGAUCUUGGCUCACUGCAACCUCCACCUCCUGGGUUCAAGUAAUUCUCCUGCGUCAGCCUCCCGAGUACCUGGGAUUACAGGCGUGCCCCACACACCCGGCUAAUUUUUGUAUUUUUAGUAGAGACAGGGUUUCACCAUAUUGGCCAGGCUGGUCUCAAACUUCCAACCUGAGGUGAUCCGCCCACCUCGGGCUUCCAAAGUGCUGGGAUUACAGGUGUGAGCCGCCAUGCUCGGCCAUUUUUGUUCUUAUAUUUAGGUCUGUGUUCCAUCUCAUGUUUAUUUUUAUGCAUGAUGUGAGGGAAGGAUCAAGGUUUAUUGGAGGUUUUUUUUUUUGCAUGCAGAUAUUCUAUCACUUCUGCCAUUGAAUUACACUGACACUUUCAUUGAAAAUUAGUUGAUCACAUAUGGAUGAGUCUAUUUCUGGACUCUAUUUUGUUCCAUUGAUCUAUAUGUCCAUCAUUACACCAAUAUUACAAUCUUGAUUAUUGCAUCUUUAUAACAAAUAUGGAAAUCAGUUAGUGCCAAUCACCCAAUUUUGUUCUUCUUCAAAAUUGUUUUGUCUAUUUUAAGUUAGGAGUUGCUGCCUGUUUUUGUAAAUAAAGUUUUAUUGACACAUAGCUAUAUCUGUCCAUUUAUGUAUUUUCUCUGGCUGUUUUUGAACUAAAAUGGUAGAGGCCAGGAGUUGCAACAGUUUGUGGACCACAAAGCCUAAUAUAUUUACUAUUUGGCUAUUUAUAGAAAAAGUUUACUGGCCCCUGUUCUAGGUCCUUUGCAUUACCAUAUAAAUUUCAAAAUCAGUUUGCCAGUCUGUGCAAAAUAAGCCUGCUAGGAUUUUUAUAAGAAUUAGAUUGAAUCUAUAAAUCAGUUUGAGGAGAAAUGCCAUUUUAACAAUAUCAAUCUUCCAAUCCAUGAACAGUUAGUUAUUUAGGUCUUAUUUCUCUCAGCAAUAUAGUUUUUCAUGGACAAGUCUU
rnacentral:lncRNA from 10 species